rnacentral:lncRNA from 1 species
CUUGAAGGAGACUUCGAUUUAGGUUUGCGGGUGUGAGCUCUUGCAGAAGCAGCUGAGAGUUUCCUGGUUGUUCCAGCAGCCAUUUGUUUCCUCAGCAAUUUUUUCUUUUGGAAAACUCAAAUGUUGGUUUGUAUGUACAACUCCUUCUCAAUUUGAGCCAAAAUAAGGAACAGAGGGAUCCGAAUCUACAGUGAGUUCAUGAUCAGAUGCAACGCGUUGAGCUGGGGCUGACCUGCAUAUAUUUUCAAAAACCAAAAUGUCUGAUUUAUC